GAGCAUCGAUGAGGUGCAUCCUGAGAGAGGCAGGUCCUUUGGCCGACUCCAUCCCGAUCUCUCCAGCGAGUCCGAUGACAGCAAGAGCACACGCUGCUGCGGCCAGAGCAUCGGAAGGAUCCGCCCCAACAAAAGCCGCUAAGAGUGGUCAUGGCACACCCUGUCGCCGUGAUCUUUGCAUCAUAGCCACACCAUUGCUCGUGCUGAAGACCUGCUCACCAUCCGUGAUGAAAUCAACGGCUCCAGAUACUGCAAUGACGGCCCUACUGGACCGUGCCAGUGCCUUCGCGGCUUGCAGGGCCUCCCCUGAGUCAUGUGAACUGUCCACACCCUGCAGUUGGCCACAAGUAUUAGUGCCCUUACCAGCGAGAUGGAAUAUACACUGUAAGCGGUAAUAGGCUCGGUAUAUGCGAGUUGCUCAUCCUCAAAUAACAGGGAGAUAGGGCAAUCAGGCAAUCCUCCUGGAAUCCAUGCAAAGAAACAUUACUAACGCAAGCAGACUAAAAUUUCUUCAAAGAUAGGAUAAUGUCUGGAGUGCAUCGCCCUGAUAAAUUGUUUUCCAUUUUCGUCGCAGGGCAUGCCAGCAUGGCAAAAUCGCUUUCCCAGUCUCGAUUUAUGGAGCAAACUAUAUGGUAGUGGAUUAAUCAGUUUAGUAUGUCAGGGGGGUGAAGUAAUCUGAUUAGGAUAGGUCCAGGAGUUUAUGUGGAUGUUUAACCUUAUGUGGACACGUUUUUCUGCCAUUCUCAUGUUCUGCACUUGUGGCACAAGGUAACUUCAACACGUUUGGACCUAAGCUUCAGCGCUACUAUUCACAGCUUUGGUAGCUAGAGCUCUCGGACGGAGGGAAAUAAAUUUUCUCACAGAUUGCAAAACCUUGGAUAUUGCUACUGAAGCCAAAAGAUCUUCUCUCUAAUCCUGGUCACUGGAGCAUCAGGCCUAUCCUUGCUGACUUCUUUCUAGUUUCUACAGCCUUGAGGAACUCUGAAGUCACUCACAUCCCUACAAUUGCUAAGAGGGCUUUCACAAAUCAAUCUUCUCAUAGAUGUGAUUUCCUUUUAGCAAAGGCUCAAGAUGUAACUCCACAAUGGCCGUUGAGCCAUCAAACUCCCCAAGGGGAAGCUGAUGUCUGACAAACACACACGCACAGGUUUGGACCUUACAGGUUGUAUCAGACUGCUUAUUUGAGCUUUCAAUUAAAGCUAUGUUAAACUGAAAUUAGCCACAAGAAAAAGGAAGGUAAAGGCCAUUAAUUCUAGUAGAGAAGGUAGGUUGAAACGUAGUGAGGAGAAUGUUCAGAUGUCGUAUUUUCCUUCGCUUCAUUUUAUCCAGUUAACUAUUGAUCUCCUCUCAUCAAUUCUAUUGAACGGAAUCUUUUUUGACCCUAAAAUAACCGAAGGCCCUGUUUAUCCUACAGUUGCACACGGCAAUUUGACAGUCGAUCAUCUUAUUUAGUCAAGAUCUGGUGUCAGUCACCGCUAGGAUUGCAAAUUGAGAAAGAAGAGAUUUCCGCGCUAGCAAUGAAGGUAGGGCAAGAGGAGGUACCUUGAAGGAGGAGUUAUCUGAGCUGGAGGCGAGGGCAAGGAUCUCAGACGCGUUGCCCCUGACGACGGUGGGGCAGAGUUUAUUUUUCUUAGGAAAAUACUUCAGCUGAGCCGUGGAGAACUGGAGAUGGUAUCAGUAUUUCUCUUGGUAGUUCACCUUUUGGAGCCACGGAGAACUUGUAUCCAAACCUGGUAACUCCUUGACCCUCGUAACUUGAAGUAGUCAGAGGAAAAAGCUCUUGAUGGUAGCAAGAAAAUUCACGGCAUAUAUAGCUUACAUGGAAGAUUACAAGUUUGAGCAUCAACUGAACACAUGAGAACUGUGACUAAUAACUGCACACUUGAUGUGAACUUAUAUAAUGUACUCACCAUGGAAUAUGGGAAACAAAAUUCAGAAGCAAAACUGCAGCAUGACGAGCCAGUUAGCUUCCUUUCCAAAGUUUCCUCCUGGGGCAGCGGGGGCCUUAAAUCAUUAAUUUCAUAGGCAUAGGGGGAUCAAAGCGUUUGAACAGACUAGCCGUUCGACCAUCUCAAAGCCAUUUAAGCACAAACACCUUAUUUCGACUGGCUUAUUUUAUGAACAUCAUUCUCAGUGUAGAUGACAUCACAAUUCACAACUGUGUACGUACUUACUAUAGCCCGGAUGGUCACCGGAUUAUUGGUGGGGGGUGGUACACAUGGACGAGUGACAGCCAAUCUGAUACGAUCCGCUUCAUGGUUUUCCAAGCACCAAGGAGGCAAAACGACCCUGCAGAUUACUCCAGACUCUGUAUCUCCUACAACACUGAUAGCCAGGGCACACAUGCAUUACGACAGCAGCGCAAUUUUUACUCCAGAUGUGACGGUCUACUCGUCGAGACCGUAGAGAGCAUCGAUGAGAUGCAUCCUGAGAGAGGCAGGUCCCUUCACUGACUCCAUCCCUAUCUCUCCAGCAAGUCCAAAGAUGGCGAGCGCACAUGCCGCUGCGGCUAGAGCAUCGGAAGGAUCCGCCCCGACAAAAGCCGCUAUAAGAGCAGUCACAGCACACCCUGUCGCCGUGAUCUUCUGCAUCAUUGCCACACCAUUGCUAGCACUGAUGACCUGCUCACCAUCCGUGAUGAAAUCAACUGCUCCAGAUACUGCGACUACUGCCCCGCUGGACCGUGCCAAUGCUUUCGCGGCUUGCAGGGCCUCCCCUGAGUCAUGUGAACUGUCCACACCCU
rnacentral:lncRNA from 1 species